AAACCGCUUAGGGGUUAAGCCCGAUGAACCUGAAUAUCUGAAUUGGGAAAUUCAAUACUAUUUUAGUUGCUUAUUUAAUUAUAAGUAAUCGAUGGUAUGCACUUUUCCCAUAGUAGGACAUUGCGAUCCAUUAGUAGUCUUUUUAAGACGGUUUAUCAUAAGGCCCGUAUAGUUAGCUUGUUCAAUUUAUAAUUUUAUUAUUAUAAUAAUGAAUAAUACUAUGUUGGUGUCCUGAUAAACGGCUGAUGGAGCUUAACAAUCAUGCAACCAUGCAAAUGUAUCACGAUUUAUUUAAAUUAUUUAUGUAAAUGCAGUGAUCGCAUGUAUUUGAUUAGCAAUGCGAUAGAUUUGGGAUACCUUCGGGACCCGUCUUGAAACACGGACCAAGAAGUCUAACAUGUGUGUAAGUCAUUGGGUAUCUUUGUUGAAACCUAAAGGCGAAAUUAAAAUAACUAUUUUAAUGGGAUUACAAGCAAUUUUAUAUAAUUGUUUCUCCAUCCCGGGGCGUUCCAUAUGAACAUGGUUAAAGUAAUUUGAUCCUCUGUUCUGGAGCGUACCUUGAACAUACAUGCUGU
rnacentral:rRNA from 1 species